GGUGCUUGCAUCACCAAUUACCGAUCAAACCGAGUGGCGGACGGGUGAGUAACACGUGGGUAACCUGCCCUUCAGCAGGGGAUAACAUUUGGAAACAGAUGCUAAUACCGUAUAACCACGGAGACCGCAUGGUCUCCGGGUAAAAGAUGGCGCAAGCUAUCACUGAAGGAUGGACCCGCGGCGUAUUAGCCAGUUGGUGGGGUAACGACCUACCAAAGCGAUGAUACGUAGCCGACCUGAGAGGGUAAUCGGCCACAUUGGGACUGAGACACGGCCCAAACUCCUACGGGAGGCAGCAGUAGGGAAUCUUCCACAAUGGACGCAAGUCUGAUGGAGCAACGCCGCGUGAGUGAAGAAGGCUUUCGGGUCGUAAAACUCUGUUAUUGAAGAAGAACGUGUGUGACAGUAACUGGUCAUGCAGUGACGGUAUUCAAUCAGAAAGUCACGGCUAACUACGUGCCAGCAGCCGCGGUAAUACGUAGGUGGCAAGCGUUGUCCGGAUUUAUUGGGCGUAAAGCGAGUGCAGGCGGUCUUUUAAGUCUGAUGUGAAAGCCUUCGGCUUAACCGAAGAAGGGCAUCGGAAACUGGGAGACUUGAGUGCAGAAGAGGAGAGUGGAACUCCAUGUGUAGCGGUGAAAUGCGUAGAUAUAUGGAAGAACACCAGUGGCGAAGGCGGCUCUCUGGUCUGUAACUGACGCUGAGGCUCGAAAGCGUGGGUAGCAAACAGGAUUAGAUACCCUGGUAGUCCACGCCGUAAACGA
rnacentral:rRNA from 1 species